CUGGCCCAGAAUUUAGACGGCGCAGGCACGGAGAGAAAGAAAUUCUAAAGGAAACCAGACGUAGAUGUUUGAGAAACUUGAAAGGAGCAGCAGAGGGAAGAAGGAAGCAUGGUGAAAUGUGGCCACGUUACCAAACCCUGUGAAAUACAUGUGUGUGUGUACAGAGCCCCAUAUGAAAUGAGGAGCCGGGGUCCCACAAGACUACAUGAAUUGUCUCUUUUAUUAUUUAUUCUAAGUUGGAAAAAACUGUUUAAUAUUUUAAAGGCUUCAGUGAUGGCUGCCAGAGGGUGUGGGGAGCAAAGCAGGCUCUGUGUCACCUGAAUGGGACGUGGCCUACAAGGCUGAACCUGGGCUCCCACUGAUCAAGGGCCACAAACACUACGGGACUGUAUGAAACACGUCGCUAAUUAAACGUAUGUGACAUCUCCAUGUCACUAAUUACUGCA